UCACCGCUGGACACCCGCCACUAUGUUUAUUCUCUUGUACGUGAUUCUUUGUAUUAUUAGAAAAUGGCAUUUAUGUAAAUAAAUAACCAUAGUAGGUGCAUCAAGUCGUCCUCUCCCCGCCUCCCGAGUUCAAGCGAUUCUCCUGACUCAGCCUCCCGAGUAGCCGGAAUUACAGGUGUGCAGCACCGCGCCCGGCUAAGUUUUGUAUUUUUAGUAGAGACUGGAUUUCGCCAUAUUGGCCAGGCUGGCCUCAAACUCAUGAUCUCAGUUGAUUCGCCCGCCUUGGCCUCCCAAAGUGCUGGGAUUACAGGUGUGAGCCACCGCGCCCGGCCCGUCCCCUCCAUCUUAUGCGGAACUUUUCCAUUAAGACUCUGAGUCCCUGGAUUUAUUUGAGAACCUCAUAAAUCAUGGUCAA
rnacentral:lncRNA from 1 species